UGAAUACGAGACGCUAAGGCGUCGAAGUAGUGUAUGUCAUACUUCCAAGAAAAGCUUGCACUGUCAUAGAUAAAAAACGCCUGUACCAUAACCGACACAGGUGGGUAGGUAGAGUAUACUAAGGGGCGCGAGAUAACUCUCUCUAAGGAACUCGGCAAAAUAACUCCGUAACUUCGGGAGAAGGAGUGCCUUAUUCUUAAGGUUGCAAUAACAAGAUCCAAGCAACUGUUUAUCAAAAACACAGGUCUCCGCUAAGUCGUAAGACGAUGUAUGGGGGCUGACGCCUGCCCAGUGCCAGAAGGUUAAAGAAGCUGGUUAGCAUUUGCGAAGCUAGUAACUGAAGCCCUGGUGAACGGCGGCCGUAACAAUAACGGUCCUAAGGUAGCGAAAUUCCUUGUCGGGUAAGUUCCGACCCGCACGAAAGGCGUAAUGAUUUGGAUACUGUCUCGGAGAGGGGCUCGGUGAAAUAGACUUGUCUGUGAAGAUGCGGACUACCUGCACCAGGACAGAAAGACCCUAUGAAGCUUUACUGUAACUUGAAAUUGAAAUUGGACUUUAUUCGCGCAGUAUAGGUGGGAGGCGUUGAUUAUAAUCUUGCGGGAUUAUUGGAGCCAUUAGUGAGAUACCACUCUUGUAAUGUUAGUUUUCUAACUUUGAAUCAUUAUCUGGUCAAGGAACAGUUUCAGGCGGGCAGUUUGACUGGGGCGGUCGCCUCCCAAACGGUAACGGAGGCGUACAAAGGUUUCCUCUGAACGGUUAGAAAUCGUAUCUAGAGUGUAAAGGCAUAAGGAAGCUUGACUGUGAGACCUACAAGUCGAGCAGGGACGAAAGUCGGUCUUAGUGAUCGGACGGUACUGAGUGGAAAGGCCGUCACUCAACGGAUAAAAGUUACUCUAGGAUAACAGGCUGAUCUCCCCCAAGAGUUCACAUCGACGGGGAGGUUUGGCACCUCGAUGUCGGCUCAUCGCAUCCUGGGGCGGUAGUACGUCCCAAGGGUUGGGCUGUUCGCCCAUGAAAGCGGUACGCGAGCUGGGUUCAGAACGUCGUGAGACAGUUCGGUCCAUAUCCGGUGUAGGCGUUAGAAUAUUGAGAGGAGCCUUCUUUAGUACGAGAGGACCGAGAAGGACAUACCUCUGGUGUACCAGUUAUCGCGCCAACGGUAGACGCUGGGUAGCUAUGUAUGGAGUGGAUAACCGCUGAAAGCAUCUAAGUGGGAAGCCCACCUCAAGAUAAGUAUUCUCAU
rnacentral:rRNA from 1 species